rnacentral:rRNA from 1 species
CCUACGGGGGACUGCAGUGGGGAAUAUUGCACAAUGGGGGCAACCCUGAUGCAGCGACGCCGCGUGCGUGAAGAAGUCUCUCGGUAUGUAAAGCUCUAUUAGUAGGGAAGAAAAUGACGGUACCUGUUUAAGAAGCCCCGGCUAACUCCGUGACAGCAGCCGCGGCAAUACGUAGGGGGCAAGCGUUAUCCGGAUUUACUGGGUGUAAGGGGGGCGUAGUCGGCAGCACAAGUCUGAAGUGAAAUGUCGGGGCUUAACCCCGGAACUGCUUUGAAAACUGUGCAACGAGAGUGUAGGAGAGGUAAGUGGAAUGUCUGGUGUAGCGGUGAAAUGCGUAGAUAUUAUGAGGAACACCAGUGGCGAAGGCGGCUUACUGGACUGUAACUGACGUUGAGGCUCGAAAGCGUGGGGAGCAAACAGGAUUAGAUACCCUAGUAGUC